rnacentral:rRNA from 1 species
GUAAUAAGGCUUAUCAGGCCUAAUUUAUAAAACCAUAAGCAGGUUUGGGCCUGGUUAGUACAUGGAUGAGUGACCACCUGAGAAUAAUGUCACUUGUUGCU